UACGUAGGAGACAAGCGUUGUCCGGAAUUACUGGGUGUAAAGCGCGUGUAGGUGGUAGGCCAAGUCUGCUGUGAAAUCGCCCGGCUCAACUGGGCGCGGUCGGUGGAAACUGGUCAACUGGAGGACGGUAGAGGCGAGUGGAAUUCCCGGUGUAGUGGUGAAAUGCGUAGAGAUCGGGAGGAACACCAGUGGCGAAGGCGGCUCGCUGGGCCGGUCCGACACUGAGACGCGAAGGCGUGGGGAGCAAACAGG
rnacentral:rRNA from 1 species